rnacentral:snRNA from 1 species
GUGCUCACUUCGGCAGCACAUAUACUAAAACUGGAACGAUACAGAGAAGAUUAGCAAGGCCCCUGCACAAGGAUGACACGCAAAUUCGUGAAGCCUUCCGUAUUUUU